UACGUAGGGGGCAAGCGUUGUCCGGAAUCAUUGGGCGUAAAGCGCGUGUAGGCGGCUUCGUAAGUCCGUUGUGAAAGUCCAGGGCUCAACCCUGGAAUGCCGAUGGAUAUUGCGGAGCUAGAGUCCGGAAGAGGCGAGUGGAAUUCCUGGUGUAGCGGUGAAAUGCGCAGAUAUCAGGAGGAACACCAAUGGCGAAGGCAGCUCGCUGGGACGGUACUGACGCUGAGACGCGAAAGCGUGGGGAGCAAACAGG
rnacentral:rRNA from 1 species